GAUGAAGAACGUAGCGAAAUGCGAUACUUGGUGUGAAUUGCAGAAUCCCGUGAACCAUCGAGUCUUUGAACGCAAGUUGCGCCCGAAGCCACUAGGCCGAGGGCACGCCUGCCUGGGCGUCACACGCCGUUGCCCCCCCAUCUACUCCUUCGGGAUUGCGAGGGGGCGGAUGAUGGCCUCCUGUGCGCCUAGCCGCGCGGUUGGCAUAAAUACCAAGUCCUCGGCGACGCACGCCACGACAAUCGGUGGUUGCGAAACCUCGGUUGCCCGUCGUGUGCGUUCGUCGCGCAUCGAGGGCUCGAAAAAAUGCUCGGCUCCGGCUGGGCUUUCAACGCGACCCCAGGUCAGGCGGGGUUACCCGCUGAAUUUAAGCAUAUCAAUAAGCGGAGGA
rnacentral:misc_RNA from 1 species